UACGGAGGGGGCUAGCGUUGUUCGGAAUUACUGGGCGUAAAGCGCACGUAGGCGGACCGGACAGUCAGAGGUGAAAUCCCAGGGCUCAACCUUGGAACUGCCUUUGAAACUAUCGGUCUGGAGUUCGAGAGAGGUGAGUGGAAUUCCGAGUGUAGAGGUGAAAUUCGUAGAUAUUCGGAGGAACACCAGUGGCGAAGGCGGCUCACUGGCCCGGUACUGACGCUGAGGCACGAAAGCGUGGGGAGCAAACAGG
rnacentral:rRNA from 1 species